rnacentral:rRNA from 1 species
GUAAAGUACCCCCUAGCUUACGACGGUAUNGGCUUGAGAGAGGGAGCCCAGAAGUUGGAUCUGAGACACGAAUCCAGGCCCUACGGGNGCAGCAGUCGCGAAAACUUCACACUGGGGGCAACCCCGAUGAGGGAAAUCCUAGUGCUAGGACAUUUGUCUAGCUUUUCUCAAGCGUAGAUAACUGAGGAAUAAGGGCUGGGUAAGACGGGUGCCAGCCGCCGCGGUAAUACCUGCAGCCCAAGUGGUGGUCGAUUUUAUUGAGUCUAAAACGUUCGUAGCCGGUUUGGUAAAUCUUUGGGUAAAUCGGGAAGCUUAACUUUCCGACUUCCGAAGAGACUGUCAAACUUGGGACCGGGAGAGGCUAGAGGUACUUCUGGGGUAGGGGUAAAAUCCUGUAAUCCUAGAAGGACCACCGGAGGCGAAGGCGUCUAGCUAGAACGGAUCCGACGGUGAGGGACGAAGCCCUGGGUCGCAAACGGGAUUAGAUACCCCGGUAGUCCAGGGUGUAAACGCUGCAGACUUGGUGUUGGGGACCCUUCGGGGGUGUUCGGUGCCGGAGAGAAGUUGUUAAGUCUGCUACUUGGGGAGUACGUCCGCAAGGAUGAAACUUAAAGGAAUUGGCGGGGGAGCACCGCAACGGGAGGAACGUGCGGUUUAAUAGGAUUCAACACCGGAAAACUCACCAGCAGCGACUAUUACAUGAAAGUCAGGCCGAUGACCUUACUAGAUUUUUAGAGAGGUGGUGCAUGGCCGUCGUCAGUUCGUACCCUAAGGCGUUCUCUUAAGUGAGAUAACGAACGAGGCCCUCACCAAUAAUUGCUACUGCGUCGUCCGCGGCGUAGGCACAUUAUUGGGACCGCUGGCGCUAAGUCAGAGGUAGGAGAGGUCAACGGUAGGUCAGUAUGCCCCGAAUCUGCUGGGCUACACGCGCGUUACAAAGGGCGGGACAAUGGGCUCAAAAACGCCGAGAGGCGAAGGCUAAUCAUCCGCANANC